rnacentral:rRNA from 1 species
UACGUAGGUGGCAAGCGUUGUCCGGAUUUACUGGGUGUAAAGGGCGUGCAGCCGGGCUGACAAGUCAGAUGUGAAAUCCCGCGGCUCAACCGCGGAACUGCAUUUGAAACUGUCAGUCUUGAGUACCGGAGAGGUCAUCGGAAUUCCUAGUGUAGCGGUGAAAUGCGUAGAUAUUAGGAGGAACACCAGUGGCGAAGGCGGCCUACUGGACGGUGACUGACGCUGAGGCUCGAAAGCGUGGGGAGCAAACAGG